GUCUUUAGCCAUGCUACCUUGAGUAAGCUUGUUCCCAUCUGAUCUUGGAAGCUAAGCAGGGUCGGGCCUGGUUAGUACUUAGAUGGGAGACUACCUAGGAAGACCAGGCACUGUAGGCA
rnacentral:rRNA from 1 species